rnacentral:tRNA from 1 species
UCGGUUUCAAUUCCGAUAAAGGGCU